UCCAAAUUAACGAUCUUUUCUUCUAUCUUGUAUUUUUGUUCUACCAUAAGAAUAUUAUUUUCUUUCCAGAUCAAUUAAUUUUGGAAACAACUGUUUCCAGAACAGUUCAUUUCUCUUUACAUGAUGAAUUGAUGUAGUCAGAAAGGGGCUGGCCAGUCCUCAGCUGGCAAACAACUGUGUGACGCUGUACUGUAGGUAGAUAUGUGCCCUCAUGCCUGUAGCUGAGAGCAUUGAAAGUAUUUGAAGUUCAUCAGUCUUCCACAAAAUAAAAUCCUCUUUCAUUGAAUUCACCUCUGGUGUCACUGAAGACAAAUCUGGCAGUUCAUAAAAUUGCUUAGGCCAUGGAAGAUUUCCCUGAGCAAACUCAGCCAUGGAAUACCUGCCACAAAAGGACAUUUAUAUGACAUUGCAAGGGAGACACAGAAUAUACAAGCAAGAAAGACAACAAUAUGCAGUGAUGCUGGGGUGUCUACAUAUUUACAGCUGUGAAAUGUGCUGUCUUGACAAAGAUACAAAGGCAGCCAAGUGCACUCUAACAAAAUUGCAAUGUUGGCAGCUGUGUCCAGGAACAACAGGACGCUUGGUCUAAAGAAGAUGUCAUGAUAUGACAAACACAGCUAUUGAAGAGGAAAGCUACUCUUAAAAGAUAAUAUGCUAAAGAUGGAAAUUUUAAAAUAUUAAAAAGAUAAAGCAUUUUUAAAAGAUCUCCUAAAUUACAGUUGUCUAUAACAGCAGUUAAAAAAGUAUUUUUUGGAACUACCUGCUACUCUAAAAGUGCUAAAUAUAUAGACUUCUCAGACAGCUGGGAUAAUAAACAUGAUCCCUAGGCCUUUACAAUUGCAAAGACUCUGAAAACAUAUGACUUUCAUCAGUGUAAAUCAGAAACGGUGUUUUGGAAGGAGGUGUAAAAUGACCGUUUUCUACAGGAUACAAUGAAUUUAGGCUAAACUGCAUUAUUUGAGGAACACUCCUGCUGUGGCUAACUAAAGAACAGGUCCACGGGCCAUUCAAAGUCUACUUUUAGAGACCAUUAAAACAAUACUUUUAUUUGUUUGAUUGUUUAUUUGCUAUUUAUUUAAUAUUUUUAUCCAUAACACUAUUAUGAAAGAUAUUCAGAGCGUUGAGGCUUGAUUCACAUGAAUUCCAUACAAGCAUAAUUCUACAUUUAUAAUGGGAAAAGAGAAAGGAAAAAAUGAGAUUUUUAUAUUAUCUUACAACAUGCUAUAAUGUGCUGAAAUGAUUUAUUCUUUGUAUAAAUAAUUUACAAACAUUUAUAAAGUCUUAAUAAAGUGAUAUAAUAAAUAGCAUUUUUCAGUUUUAAGGUAACUACACCUGCACAAAAAGAGUUAUCUUUAUGGUAGAAAACACAACAAAGGACUUGAACAGUGUUUUCCCUUCUCCAGCUUAUUUUGAAGUAGAAUUGAAAUCAUAUUUAACUGCAAUUUUACUCUGGCAGUAAUUUAGAAAAAUAAGAGAAUAUUAUGAGCCUGAACUUCUAGUUUCUCUGAAGUAUUUUGUUUUGAAAUGCUGAAGUUCCCAACCUGUGCUAGUGUAUACCUGGUGCAAUCUGACACUGAGAAAUACUGGAAGGAUUCUUUAAAGAAGAAUCCCUCAGGUCACAGCUUGUUCCACUGCAGCACAGCACACUAUCACUUCUAUUCAACUUUGACCAUUUUUUCACAGUAGAUCUUACAGAAGUAACAAAACCAUACGUUGAAAAGAAUUUGAUGUUAUUUUACCUCUGUGAAGUUUGCAAUGAUAUUGUAAAUGAAGUGUGUGUCUGUGGGAAGGCUGAAUAAAAAAUACAAUUUACUGUCAAGAAAUAGAUGAAUACUGGUCCAUUUGAAACAAUAGAAAUUGUUCUCAUUUACCAUUAGAUGGCAUACAUACAGUAUAAAAUACACGAUUAAACAGAAUUCCAGUGUACUAGGUGAAAGGUUAAAUAUUACUUCUGUAGCAUAAUAGAUGCAUGCUAAAGCCUGCUAAUAUUUGUUUCCACUCAGAAUUGUUAUGUCUAAAGAAUUUCAGACUCUUCACUGAAUACUUCUACAUAACUGGCCAAAUAAGUCUAUGCUGCUAAAAGCAGCUCAGUGAUUGUUAACACUGCAGCAUUGCUGUGUAUUCAGCUCCUGCACAUAUACUUCCUAUUUUUCCUGUUCAGUGAGGA